GGCCUAUCAGCUUGUUGGUGGGGUAAUGGCCUCACCAAGGCGACGACGGGUAGCCGGCCUGAGAGGGUGACCGGCCACACUGGGACUGAGACACGGCCCAGACUCCUACGGGAGGCAGCAGUGGGGAAUAUUGCACAAUGGGCGAAAGCCUGAUGCAGCGAACGCCGCGUGAGGGAUGACGGCCUUCGGGUUGUAAAACCUCUUUCAGCAGGGAAGAAGCGAAAGUGACGGUACCUGCAGAAGAAGCACCGGCUAACUACGUGCCAGCAGCCGCGGUAAUACGUAGGGCGCAAGCGUUGUCCGGAAUUAUUGGGCGUAAAGAGCUCGUAGGCGGCUUGUCACGUCGGAUGUGAAAUCCCGAGGCUUAACCUCGGGCUUGCAUUCGAUACGGGCAGACUAGAGUGUGGUAGGGGAGAUCGGAAUUCCUGGUGUAGCGGUGAAAUGCGCAGAUAUCAGGAGGAACACCGGUGGCGAAGGCGGAUCUCUGGGCCAUUACUGACGCUGAGGAGCGAAAGCGUGGGGAGCGAACAGGAUUAGAUACCCUGGUAGUCCACGCCGUAAACGUUGGG
rnacentral:rRNA from 1 species